CUCAUUUAGUGCAGUGGUUAGCACUGUUGCCUCACAGCAAGAGUCGUGGGUUCAAACCCACGGCCUGGGG